GCGGGCGUGGCGGAACUGGCAGACGCGCCGGACUUAGAAUCCGGUGGGCAACCUUGCAGGUUCAAAUCCUGUCGCCCGCACCA
rnacentral:tRNA from 1 species